rnacentral:rRNA from 1 species
AGUGAACGCUGGCGGUAGGCCUAACACAUGCAAGUCGAACGGCAGCACAGGAGAGCUUGCUCUCUGGGUGGCGAGUGGCGGACGGGUGAGGAAUACAUCGGAAUCUACUUUUUCGUGGGGGAUAACGUAGGGAAACUUACGCUAAUACCGCGUACGACCUACGGGUGAAAGCAGGGGACCUUCGGGCCUUGCGCGAUUGAAUGAGCCGAUGUCGGAUUAGCUAGUUGGCGGGGUAAAGGCCCACCAAGGCGACGAUCCGUAGCUGGUCUGAGAGGAUGAUCAGCCACACUGGAACUGAGACACGGUCCAGACUCCUACGGGGGGCAGCAGUGGGGAAUAUUGGACAAUGGGCGCAAGCCUGAUCCAGCCAUACCGCGUGGGUGAAGAAGGCCUUCGGGUUGUAAAGCCCUUUUGUUGGGAAAGAAAUCCAGCUGGCUAAUACCCGGUUGGGAUGACGGUACCCAAAGAAUAAGCACCGGCUAACUUCGUGCCAGCCGCCGCGGUAA